AAGCUUGUACACUAACACAGUCCAAGUUCAGUGUAAGUCCCACAUCGGUGAGCGAAGCAGCGUGCAAAGGAAUGAGGGCCUUAUAAAAACCGAGCACGACCACAGAAAUAAUCAUACCUUUCUCGGCCUUUUGGCUAAGAUCAAGUGUAGUAUCUGUUCUUAUCAGUUUAAUAUCUGAUACGUGGGCCAUUGGCUCGCAUGAUAUUAAAUUUAUUUUUUUAGGGGCUGGGUCCAUCUCAGUGGCUUGCUGCUGGGGCCCGGAAGCGUCGCCCUUGUCUUGCACUAUUGCAUGGGCCAGGCGCACCCCACCAAGGUAGUUCUAAAUUUUCAAGUUGGCUGCAACUUAAUGAGUUAAAACUUGAGGCAGUUUUUGCUGUUUUCCGUCGUUAAUGUUUACUCUACGGGUUGAUUUGGAAGGUUUUCCACCACGACAUUGAUGAGUCCUAUUCUCUCACAAUCCCUACAAUGGAACCUCCCAAUCUCACUGCAGCUACAUCAUGGGCGGCAUCUGAGGCCUGGAGACUCCCUCAAAACUCGUAUGGGGAAAUCUGAAUCGUGUAGCCGUGGGAAGUGUAUGUUUAGGACACGCUGAUCUUCAUUCAUUAUAGACUCACAUUACAAACUUGCAUUCUUUUCCGUUGGCGGUUUCGUUCGGAACCAAAUUUGGCUGAUAAGGGGUUGUAUGUCUUCGUAUGCAAUAUUUCUCUUGUUGACGUUAGAUGGAUUGUUCAAUUUGAGCUUAUCUGAAUCGAAGUCCUUUUUCUGGCUUUCUUUUACCUAGUAUGGCAUGUCACUUCCUUUGGUGGAUUUGGGGAAUAUCAACAUCAGCAUUCAUCAGAGGCAGAGCUAAAAUCUUCAAUAUUGAAUCAGUUACCAUAGGAGCCAUAGAACUUCCAACCACUUAGAAAUACCAUCCAAAUACGAAAGACUAUAUUUGGUGUGAUGAACCGCAUACAAGUAAAAGAGGCGUGCCUCAGCUUGGAGCAGCUUCCACCAAUGAAAUGAUGAAAUCUAUUCGAAUCUCUCAGUAUGAUUGGCCGUCCAACCAUCAAGGAUACAGACUUCAUGAAAGCAUGGCAGUCAUCACAAACACAACAAUCUUUGUAUCUGGAUUAUACCCAAAUUCCCGCAAUUUUGCGAUCAGGCUGGUCAGUUCGCUAUAGAUUUUUUCCACCUCUGGAUGAGAUCGAUCUUCAGAAACAAACUUGUGAACUUCAUUUUCAAUCUCAAUCCAACUGUAUGCAGCAAACUUCUUUGCAUUAUUUCUCUUCAUUAGAGAUCUUAUGGCAGCUACAUCUUUCCAUCUCCCACAAGCAGCAUACAUGUUGGAGAUUAUGAUAUAUGGUCCAGCAUUAAGCGGAUCCAAUUCAAA